AGGGAUAUAACUCUGCGGUAGAGUGUCACCUUGACGCAGAGGUGCUCAUCAGUUCGAGUCAGAUUAUCCCUA
rnacentral:tRNA from 1 species